UCUUUAUUGAUCUCGUACCCUAUUAAUAUAAGUGGAUAUCGAUAAUUACAUACCACUCUUCCAUUCAGGACAAAUUGAAUAUUACAAACCAAAUAAUAUUGGUGGCGAUUAAAUAUCCAUAUUGGUCAUUUGCCGUCAUUUAGCGGUAGAUGGAUAUCACCUGUAAUAGUUGGAAGAACAUGCCUUAGACAAUACCGAUUGUGCGUGCGAUCCCAGAAGCUUUCUUGUUGUUCAAUUGCGGCUAGUAUUCCAGGGCCCCGAUCCGAUAUGAUGCAAAUAUCAGGUUGGGGACAGACAUACCUCCUUAACCUAGAAAGAAAGAAAUCUCAAUUGUUACCUGACUCCACCGGUGAUAUUGCAAAUGCAGAUUUCAAAACCCAUCUUAUCAAAAUUAUUUUUUCUAGAACAAUACUUAACAAUUAAAAAGAUUAAACCCUAAAACCUAAUACCCUAAUUUAAACCUAAAAACCCUAAACCUAGGCCUUAAUUAGCAAAUAACCCAUUGAGAAGGUGACUGUUGGGGGAAAACAUAGUCAAAAGCAUGCCCUCGUUAGCGCUUUUUAGUAAAGUCCGUCCAUGUCACAGCGCUUUUGCCUGAUACAAGGAAAAAAGUGCUUAUAUGGACGCUUUUUUCUAGAUUAUCCCCUAAAAAUGCAUCCACAUCAACGUGUUUUUAAAUUUUCGAUCCAUACCCGUUAUUAUUUUUAGAAAUGGUCCAUUUCCAUAAAUAAUUUCAAAAAUGAACCUUUAUUGGUACUAAACCCCAAUUUGUAAACAAAAUGGCAAUGUCUUUCAUGAUUUUUGUCCUCAUUUGUACAGUAGGAGACAACCACCUUGUCCCACAUCCUUAGAACUCAAAAGACACCCGAAUUUUCACAGGACUUCAACUAUUAAAUUUUAAGUUAAUUUUUUUUAAUCCUGUCGUAACCAUUUUUUUGAAAAACAGGAAUCGAUUUGGAUUUUGAAAAUAAAAACGAACAGAUGAGUCGCCACCAAUCCUUUUUGAUGAGGUGUGAUCCGGUCACCUCAAAUUAAUCAUUUUAAUAAAAGUUAAGAUUUACUAAAACGAUAAUUUCUGGUCUACGGAAAUCAAAAAAUGAGUUUGGGAGUCGAUUACGCACGAGGAAGGAUUAGCACCCUCGAUACGCCCAAAAAUUGGUACCUAGUUGAUUAAUUAGUGUCUUAGUGUCGAAAAUUUGAAAAUUUGAAAAAAUUUAAAAUACGAUCCUUCUUUAUAAAAAGUUCAAGUGUUAAAGACCCCUUCGUCUCAAAAUAUAAAAUGUCACAUCUAGUAAGUUAGGACACGACAUCUUGAAUUUUCGAAAGCGAGCUUGCCUUUUGUAUAAAAUUUUCGUAUUUUAAUUUAUUAAAAGGGGAUUCGAUUAUUUAGAGUAAACAAGAGAAAUCGAAACCCAGUAAGUUAGGGUACGUUUUCUCGAAUUCUCAAACACCGAAUAUUGCCUUUAUUUUAAAACAAAUUCUUAUUUCGAGGUGACAAAAUGUCAUACCCGGUAAGUUAGGGCACAACACUUUGUAUCUCCGAGAAUAAGCAUUUUCAAAACUCGUAUAGCGAUUUAAAAGAGUAUUCCGUUAUUUAGGUUAAAUGAGAAAAAUCGAAACCCAGUAAGUUAGGGCACGACUAUCUCGAAUUACCGAAUACGGAAUAUCACUUCUAUGAAAGAAUUAUUUUAAGGCAUUGAGUAAAAACAUAAUGUGGUUUAUAGUAAUAUAUAAAAGCAGAUUAUGAUAUUAAUAAUAAUGUAUAAUAAUGAGUGACAAUAACGAGCAAUUAUAAAAAGAUGACAUAUAAGCAAGGUUAGUAAUAUGUAAAUAUAAACAAAUGCGUGAGGAAAAUGAAAUGGCCGAACACAUAAGUAAAUUAAUAAAAUAAAAAUGAAUAAAACGUCGCAAAAUAAAAAUGGCAAUGAUAACGAAAUCGAUGAUUAUAAUAAUUAUAUGAAUAAUGACAGUAUAAAAUAAUAUAUGGUAUUAAACAUUAUAAUGAUGGUAAUAAUGUAAAAAUGAAAUAACAAGGAACAUAUAUAUGUAAAAUACGUAGUACUAGAUUAAAAAUAAAAAUAUAAUAUUUAUUGAAAACAGUGAUAAUACAUACAAGAGUAACUAAUAAUAACGAUACAUAAAUGCAUGUAUUGAAAUAUAUAUGUAAAAAUAGAAAUAAUAAUAAGAAUAUACGUGAUAUUAAAAUAUAUGUACAUAAUACAGUUUUAAGAAUAUACACAACAUGCAUGGCAUUAAAAAUGGUAUUAAACUACAUACAUAUAAGUAUUGAUGAAAAAUGCUAAUACUAAUAAUGGUAAUAAUAAUUACAAUAAGGAUGAUAAUGGUAAUAAUAAUAUUAUAGUAAAGUAAACAAAAGUAAUACCGUAUAUCAAUAUAUAUAAUGAAAAUACACACUACUAUAUAAUAAUAAUAAUAAUAAUAAUAAUAAUAAUAUAGAAAUACAAAGAGCAAAUAUAAUAAAAAUAUAAAAUAAAAAAAACAAUGCUAUAUAUAAAAAAUAUAUAUACGUGGUAUAAUAUUAAUACAUGCGUAAUAUGGAAAAUAAUGAAUAUAUAUAUUGAAGAAAUACAUGUGUGACAUACAAAGGCAUUAAUAAAACAAUAAUAUUAAGCUAUUAAUAAUACUUUAUAACAUAUAUAUGCAAGUAUUAAAUAAAAUGAGAUGUUAGUAAAUAAAAAUAUAACAGUAAUAAAAUAUAAUGGCAUGAAUAAUAUUAAAAUAAAAUAAAAUAAAAUAAGAGAGGGACGAAAUUGAAUUAAAAAUGGAACUUUUGGGACAAAUCGAGAUGGGACGAAAUUGCAACACACGAGAAGGCGUAGGGGCCAUAUGGGGCAAUGUUCGACACCCAAAACAACACCGUUUAGAUGUCUGAUCCUCAAAUGGCCCGAGGUCCGAAUUGAAACAAAAUUAAAGUUAAAAGGCGGACUUAAGAAAUGGGCGAAAAUCGGAUUAAAACAUAGCAGAAAUGGGGAGGGGCCACGCGAGCAAUUAUCCCAGACGGUGGAAACACGCGGAUCCUCAGGCAUCGGGUCGGGUCGUGCAUGGGUCACGUGAAACGGUGUCGUUUUGGCGCUGUGAGUUAAGGCCCAAAACGGCGCCGUAUUAUGCCAUUAUAUAAACCCCAAAUUUUUUAAAAACAGGCAUUCUUUUGCUGUUUCAGAAAAAUAAAGGGAAGAGUUCUUCCCUUCUCUCUGGGAAAACCCCAGAUUCCGGCCAGGAGGGCCACCACGCACUCCCGUCGUCACCGAUCCGCCACCACGCGGUGGCCGGAAUUCCCAGAAGGUAUAUUUUUUUCUUCUUUUUUUUUCUAUUAUUAUUUUUGUUUACAAUAUAUGUAUAUAUGUGAAUAAAAGGGCGUGGAAAAUAGAAAAGAAAGAAAAAUGAAACAAAUCGAAAGAAAAUGAAAUCACCUUUUGUUCCCCUGAUUUUUGAUUCUAUGUUUUCGUUUCUUCUUUUAAUGUUUUUCUCUUGAUUGGAUAUUUUGUGCCUUUGAGUUACUGAUUUUGUGUUUUAAAAUCAAGUGCUUCUUUUUAUUUCUCACCAAAAAAACCGAAUGCUUUUUACAAUUUCAUUUUGGUUUAUAUAUUUGUGCACACUGCUCCUUUUUGCUUUCUGUCUUCUCUCGUUUAAUGCUUGCAGGUGAAUGGCGGUGGACUUGACCUGUCGGUGGGAGCAGAGGCGGUGGUGGAUGGGACAGGGAGCAAGUGGCUGAAGCAGCUUAGGGUUUUCUUAGCUUUUUUCUUUUGUUUUGUGUUUGGGUUGGGCUAGGGUUUUGAUUUGUUUGGGCUAAGGAUUGUGGUUUAAGCUGAGUAUUGGGUUUAGGGUUAUUUUAAUUUUGGGGCCAAAAUUGGGCUAUACAAAUCCAACAUGUUUUUCUCAUGCAAAAUGAAUGAUUAGGCUCGCACAGAAAAUAAAUUACAAACUAAAGAAGGAUUGUAACAGUCGCAUACACGUAGAUAGGCAAUAAAACAAUACCUAAAUUCGAGUCAUUUUUAAAUGAAAAACUGUUAUCUAGUAUAACCCAUGAGUCUUUUUUUUCUUCUAACUUGUUGAUAAUUUUAACCACAAAU
rnacentral:lncRNA from 1 species